UAGAAGAAAACGACGAUGAAGGCCUGGGGUUGGGAGCAGGAAUAUAAUCUGAAAUAAAAGAGGAAAACAAACCUUACAUUUAUCGCAGUGAUUGUCUCUGACAUUUGCAGUGACUGACUGACAAUGACCUUGCCUGAGACGAGAGCCUACGAAAAUUAGAAAAUUCCAUUUAGAGCAUUCACCUGAAGAUAAUGUAUGUCAAACAUGUAGCUUCUAUGCUCCAGUGUACAAUUAUUGCAACAUAUCAACCAUUUGAUCUGAUUUUGCUGAGAUCAAAACUUUGAUGAGGUUGAACUUAAGCUUACAACAUAUUGCUGUAAGGAGUGCUGAUAUGCAGAUGACUGAGGUGAAUAUGAUUAAAUACAUAUGCAACUGGAACCAAUGCCGCUUCUGGGAGCAGGUGGGCAUAUCAGGAGCUGUGCCACAUAGACCUUGAUUGCCUAAUAAUGACAUAUUUGUUACUGAAUCAAAGAUGCCUCCUGAGGGAAUCCUGCCUUCAAGCUGGUUGAAAGAAAGAUUGAUGAAGGUAAGAGUAUGCAUUUUGCUCAGGCUUGUUGGGAUCAAACCAGACAAGUAGUUUCCUGAAACAUCGAGUGAUUCAAGGUUUUUUAGAUCACCUAGAGAAUCUGGAAGGUGCCCUGCAAUAGAAUUGUGCGAUAGAUUUAACAACCUCAAUGCAAUGCAGCUUGAUAUCUGAGAGAAGAUAUUUCCAGUGAAUUUGUUCGAUGAAAGGUCUAUCUCCUGAACAUUUUCCAGUUUGCUAAACUCAAUUGGCAAUGGACCUUCAAAAUGAUUAUGUGACAGGUUUAAAAAUAUUCUGAUUGCACGAAUACCUGAAAGUUCUGAAGGAACACUCCCAUUCAACUUGUUGUAGGAUAAGUCUAACUUGUAUAGAUCUAUGCACUGUCCUAAACUUCGGGGUAUUGAUUGUGAAAGCAAAUUGUUGUUAAGAAACAAAUAAUUCAACCGAAUUAAAUUUCCAAGACUCUCUGGAAUAGGACCACAAAAAUUAUUGUAUGAUAGAUCAAGCAAGCCCAGAUGAAGGAGUUGACCUAAUGCUGCUGGAAUUUCACUGGAGAAUAAGUUGUGUGAUAAGAAAAGCUGCUCCAAUUUCGACAACCUACUAAUAUUUGAUGAUAUCAUUCCAUUCAGAUGAUUUGAAGUCAAAUUUAGUGUCAUAAGGUUGGAAAUAUUUGCUAUACUCAGGGGAAUUGGUCCAGUGAUUUGGUUUUCUUGCAGUAACAUUUUUGUUAUAUUCAGUUGACUGAUUGAAGUAGGCAAUUUUCCUCCAAGACCCAUGCCAACCAACUGAAGCUCAACCAACUUCGUGCAGUUUUCCAGGGCAGUGAAGAAGGGGUUAAGAUUGCUGUUGUUGUCAUGACUUAUCAUGUAAUUAUAUGAUAAUUGGAGAAAUUUAAGUGAAGGUAACUUCCCCAAGAUAUCCGAAGGUAACUCACCAGAAAGAUUAUUGGUCCCCACAUCCAAAUUAUACAUUGAAGUAUUUACCAAAGAUGUAGGAAGCUGUCCCACAAACUGAUUGUUGUAUAAAUUAAGGGACCAUAGAUAUGGACUAUUUCCUACUUCUUGUGGAAUCUUUCCUGUAAAAAAGUUGUGGGAAAGGUCUAAAUUUCUCAGUGAAGUGCAGUUGUGGAAGAAGGAAGGUGGAAGUGCUUUUGAUAAAUUGUUUCCAGAAAGAGUUAACAAAUGGAGUUUAGAAAGAAGAGCAAAGGACUCUGGUAUUGGACCUUGUAAAUUGUUCUCAUCUAGCUGUAAAUAAAGGAGGUGUCUAAGGUGCGAAAAUUCAGGUGGAAUGGCUCCAGAAAAGUGAUUGUUAUAGAGCUCUAGGACAUGAAGGCCAGUAAGAUUUGAGAGAAAGGGAGAGAGGGUUCCAGUCAAUCCACAAUUUGGUAGAAAAAGUUGAGACACACGGUGAUGGUGUUUGCCACAUCUAACACCGCUGAAGCUACAUACAUCAACAUCCUCCCCCCAGUGAGCUAACGUACAAUUUGGAUCAAACUUUAUGGUGCUUUUGAACAACAGAAGGACAGCCUUGUCCGUAACCAAAGAGUGGAAAAAAAAAGUGUCUAUUGUCAAAAUGUACACUACAGACAAGUUUGAUUGGUAAAGAGUCAAUGGUAUUUGUGACAGCAUAAGGCUUGAAGACUUCCAUGAAUGGUUGGAAAGGUGAAGAAUCAAAAAUGGGGUGGCAGGUCCGAUCAUGCAUAUUCGUGCAUUGUCCUAGAGAUUGAGAUACUGAGCUUGAAAGCUUAAUGUUGUUAAGAAAGGGCUCUGAGCCUGCCGUCGUAGACUUUCCAGGAUUUGAAUCACUGAAAUUAUUGUAAGACAGAUCAAGCUGUUCCAGCUGAGGGAGUUUGACCUAAUGCUCCAGGAAUUUUUACAAGGGCAAUGUAAAACGGCUGGAGAUUCAUAUUCUUAUGGACAAUGAGAUAUUGCACUGAAGGCACAGCUUCUCGGGAAGGAAACUCAUCAUAAAGAAGGUGUGUGACAGCCUUGAAGUAGCAGAUAUCAACAGACUUCUCCCAGUUACAAAGGUACUUUUGAAUGCCAUAAGAGCUGCCUUAUCUGUAAGUAAAGAGAGGUGGUUUACAUUGCAUAACGUAGUUGCAUGACAUAGUUGCAUGGCCUGCACUUCAAUUAAAAAGUUAGUGUCACCCCAUACGUUUAGAAAGUGGUAAAUACACCCAGUUCUUUUAGAACUGUUGGUAAAAUUUAAUGGUAAAUUGUUAAAAAUUAGUCAUCUAUCAACCGUCACAUUUAGCUUCAUCAACGGUCAUUUAACACAUCACAUUCAUCACUCAUCAUCAACAACUCAUUAUCAAUAAAAAUAAACAAGUACAUAACUCAUGGUCGGCCAUGUUGUUUCAAUUGGUCGCAGCCGCCCACGAUGUCGAUCCACCCAUCACCACUACCUCCAGUCUUCUUUCUCUCU